rnacentral:rRNA from 1 species
GAGUUUGAUCCUGGCUCAGAUUGAACGCUGGCGGCAUGCCUUACACAUGCAAGUCGAACGGUAGAGUAGCAAUACUUGAGAGUGGCGAACGGGUGAGUAAUAUAUCGGAACGUGCCCAGUCGUGGGGGAUAACGUAGAGAAAUUUACGCUAAUACCGCAUACGAUCUAAGGAUGAAAGCGGGGGAUUCGCAAGAACCUCGCGCGAUUGGAGCGGCUGAUAUCAGAUUAGGUUGUUGGUGAGGUAAAAGCUCACCAAGCCGACGAUCUGUAGCUGGUUUGAGAGAACGACCAGCCACACUGGGACUGAGACACGGCCC